AUUGAACGCUGGCGGCAUGCUUUACACAUGCAAGUCGGACGGCAGCGGGGUAGUGCUUGCACUACUGCCGGCGAGUGGCGAACGGGUGAGUAAUAUAUUGGAACGUACCGAGUAAUGGGGGAUAACCAAUCGAAAGAUUGGCUAAUACCGCAUACGCUCUGAGGAGGAAAGCAGGGGACCUUCGGGCCUUGCGUUAUUCGAGCGGCCAAUAUCUGAUUAGCUAGUUGGUGGGGUAAGGGCCUACCAAGGCGACGAUCAGUAGCGGGUCUGAGAGGAUGAUCCGCCACACUGGGACUGAGACACGGCCCAGACUCCUACGGGAGGCAGCAGUGGGGAAUUUUGGACAAUGGGCGCAAGCCUGAUCCAGCCAUGCCGCGUGUCUGAAGAAGGCCCUCGGGUUGUAAAGGACUUUUGUUAGGGAAGAAAAAGGAGCGGUUAAUACCCGUUUCUGCUGACGGUACCUAAAGAAUAAGCACCGGCUAACUACGUG
rnacentral:rRNA from 1 species